GUCCCUGUAGCUCAGAGGAUAGAGCAACUGCCUUCUAAGCAGUAGGUCGCAGGUUCGAGUCCUGCCAGGGAUGCCA
rnacentral:tRNA from 1 species